rnacentral:rRNA from 1 species
CAAUAGCGUAUAUUAAAGUUGUUGCAGUUAAAAAGCUCGUAGUUGGAUUUCUGGUUGAAGCGACCGGUCGGGCGUUGAUUCGUCUGCACUGGAGUCGGUUUUGGCCAUCCUCUAGGAAAGUGCGCCUGGUAUUAAGUUAUCGGGCGUAUGAUCCUGGUCUUUUACUGUGAAAAAAUUAGAGUGUUUAAAGCAGGCCUUCGCCUUGAAUACAUUAGCAUGGAAUAAUAAGAUAGGACUUUGGUCUAUUUUGUUGGUUUGCAGACCGAAGUAAUGAUUAAUAGGGAUAGUUGGGGGUAUUUAUAUUCCGAUGUCAGAGGUGAAAUUCUUAGAUUUUCGGAAGAUAAACUUAUGCGAAAGCAUUUACCAAGGAUGUUUNCAUUAA